UGUCUAUCUUAACCAGAAGCCCUUUCUGGCACAUUUCUGUUGUGUGAUUCUGUAUACCAUUAUAAAAUCAUAAACAGCAUUUGAAUCUGGCUAUGUGGGCACAGUGGAGGAGAUUGUUUCUUUCCCUGGAAGUCCUGGGAUUCUGCUCACCCUUUAGUUCUUCUAAAAACAUCAUUUGCGAAUGUGCUUCAGUACUGAUGUAUAUAGAGUAUUUAUGAGCCACGUGGGCCUGAAACUGAUUCAGGCUCCUCAGUAAGGAUUUCUGGAUACACAUCUUUUAUUAUUAUUAUUAUCAUACUUUAAGAUCUAGGGUACAUGUGCACAAUGUGCAGGUUUGUUACAUAUGUAUACAUGUGCCGUGUUGGUCUUUUAUCCAUAUUACAUCUUCCGGGAAGGAUGAGAAACAUGAUCCUUUUCUGAACCGCCAGGUGAAGGUGAGUCAGACUCAAUAUUUAGUAAGGAGUCACAAAACACAGGCCAAAUUAUCAAGCAAUGGAAGUCAUUAGGGCUCCAUACUGCACUGCCAGCCCAGAAUCGAAAGGCAAAGGCCUGGGAAAGCAGACACAGCCAGCAGCAGCCAGGGGGAGAGUAGAGCCAGUCAUUGUACUAUUCAUUGGUCAAACCAGUCAGGAAGAGCAAGAACAAACAAACAAACAAACAAACAGAGAACAAGUUGAUUUUCUCAGGCAAAGACCCCUGCAGAGACUGCAGGCCACAAGAGGUCAGUUGCUGAAUGCCCUGGGCAGGGCCUUGUCUUCACAAUUCUCAGUGUUCAGAAGACUUCUUGCUGGUGUCCCAGGAGCAGGUGUUCAAGAAGGCACCUACUGUGUACCUUCUACCAGACACUGUGACAGGAUGCAUAUGGCAUUGUUGUAGCUUCAAGGAGCUCACUACGUCAAAGGAUCUGAAUGUGACCAUAUGAGUAAAACAGCCAUGAUCAUCUUCCCAGUGGAAAGGCCACCAGUAGUUAACAGUUUUGAAUCAACAAUACACCUGCAAAUGAGGACUGAAACAGUACACAGAUCUCAGCAGUGGAAUCAUUUCUUCAAAACUAAAUAUUAUGUAGUUAUGAUAUAAGGAUUGUGGUAAUCAUAAAAAGGCCACCAUAAAAGAAGAAGGCCACCAUUGUAUUUAUGAACUAUGCCCUGAUAUAUUUCAGGAGGCUGGUGAACACUCAUUGUAACAUUUAAGACUUUGUACAAUUUAAUCACAUUCAGGUAAUUCCAUUUUCUAGAUGGAAUGUUUGAGUCUGUUUGGUUACCUGUAUUCUGUCACUUCACUGUAUCUCAUAUGUGUAGGGGGGUGGAAGAGGAGGAAAUUGUGAAAAUGGAAGAAAUUUUGCUGCCUAGAUUUUAGCUCAAUGGAUUUGGAAAAAGAUUUGCUCCCCAGAUUUGACCAAGAUUAAUAAGGACCACAUAUAUUCAAGUGCAAAUUUCAUUCCUAAUCAUUCCCUCUUUAAAUACGUGAGCCAUACUGGGUUGAAAAAGCGGCUCUGAGUUUGAUGUAUCAUCUGCUACAGAGCAGAGUUCAUGUUGCUUCCAUGUUGGUGCCUGGUGUGUUUUAUCUGGUCUACAUCUGCCCCUGGUUUCAAUAAUUCACUUUGUUCCAAGUCUGGGGCAUGU
rnacentral:lncRNA from 10 species